UGUCCUUCUCAAGUCGAUCGCCCCUGUGACGUCAGCGGCCGCUCGGUCUUUCCAAGGAGAAGCGGAGGGAAAAGAAACCGGAGAGACCGAGACCCUCGAACCCGUCUAUCCAUGUGUCGUUACGUCGCUCCGUGAGCUGUGUGUGUGUGUGUGUGUGUGUGUGUGUGUGUGUGUCGGAGCCACAGACAGGAAACCGCAGAAGAGAAGGAGGGGAGAACAAGAAGCGUGAGAGGAGUUGUCGGUAGUUUUCCCCCGCUCCGAACAUGGAGCGGACUGGAACUUUCCUGCUCUCCGCGGCUCUCCUGCUGGUUUCACUGGGACACACUGGGGCACGGGCGGACUCGUUUAAAGCCUGUCUAUCUGGGCAGUCUCCAGAAUGUGCUCUGGUCCAGUCCAAAGAGGACGACUUUGACUGGGAGCAGGGGGACACCCGAGACCACCUGACAAGCCUCCCUUGGAUCCCUGCAGCAGUGUGAAAUACAACUCCUUAAACAGGAGAGGAGGAAACGAGAGAGGAGAGGAGGAACCUUGAGAGAAGGAAAGGAGAGAGGAAAGGAGGAAACAAGAGUGGAGUGGAGGAUCCUUGCUGAUUUUCAUCCCAGUUUUCUACAUUUAAUUUAUAUAGUCUGAGUUGGUAGUAGCUGAAUUAGCUUCAACGUGAGCCACUUUUUGCUUAUACUAAGUUUAUUACCAGCAGCAGAUUAAACAGUGAGCAGCUCCUAUCGCUGGAUCACUGAGAGACUGAAGGAAAGUUAGACAUGAGCAAGUUCUGCAGCGUCUUCUCUGGUUUCUAAGUGUAUUUAUGGAGGUUUAUUCUGGAUGGACAUCAGAGAUAAUGGCAAGUUAUGAAGUGUAUUACUACAAAUAUGUUUCAUGUCUCUGUUUUCACAUUUGAUUGAGUUAGGACUUUGAGAAGGAGAUGAAUUGUCCCUGGUGGAGUUUAAAAUGAGCUUUUGCUGGAGAACAAAAUGAAACACAUCCACUACAAUACACUUAAUCCUUUCUGACUGUCCUCAUUUCCUUUGUGUUGGUCCCUGGCAUCCACUUCAAACUGUCAGAUAAGAAUCAAUGUGACAAGUAACACCUUUAAAUAUUUUAUGUUUUUGACUUGUGAGCACAGCUUUGUAGAAAAGAAAUGGUACCUCUGACUGCUCAUAGAUGAAGCUUUAUAACACCGACACUUUAAAAUGGUAGUUCUGCAUGUGUUCUCACUUGGGGAAAGCAGCAGGUCUGGUUGCAGUUCUCUGUUUUAACUCAUCUGAUUUAAUAUUGCAGACACACACAGACACACAGAGUUGCAGCGAGGCAUCGAUUGACCAGUGAUUGCAAGCUCCAUUUAAUGUUCUUACAAAUGGUACAAGUUCAAUCUAAUCUGAGCCAUGUAGCACUGGCUCGCCCUCUCUCCUGUCAGUGUGAACAACAGUAAUCUUCUCUAAUACCCUUUACAGCCACACACACACUCGCUGUUCCAGGCUGGGAACAAUUUCCUCACUCGUUAGCAUUUGUUGCUGCAGUGACCCAAGUGAGUUUCACAGG